rnacentral:rRNA from 1 species
UACGUAGGGUGCAAGCGUUGUCCGGAAUUAUUGGGCGUAAAGAGCUCGUAGGCGGUUUGUCGCGUCGAAUGUGAAAACCCGGGGCUCAACCCCGGGCCUGCAUUCGAUACGGGCAGACUAGAGUUCGGUAGGGGAGUCUGGAAUUCCUGGUGUAGCGGUGAAAUGCGCAGAUAUCAGGAGGAACACCGAUGGCGAAGGCAGUGGACUGGGCCGAUACUGACGCUGAGGAGCGAAAGCGUGGGGAGCGAACAGG